rnacentral:rRNA from 1 species
CGCCCAGACUCCUACGGGAGGCAGCAGUGGGGAAUAUUGCACAAUGGGGGAAACCCUGAUGCAGCGACGCCGCGUGAGUGAAGAAGUAUUUCGGUAUGUAAAGCUCUAUCAGCAGGGAAGAAGAAGGACGGUACCUGAAAAAGAAGCCCCGGCUAACUACGUGCCAGCAGCCGCGGUAAUACGUAGGGGGCAAGCGUUAUCCGGAUUUACUGGGUGUAAAGGGAGCGUAGACGGAAAGGCAAGUCAGAAGUGAAAGCCCAGGGCUCAACCAUGGGACUGCUUUUGGAACUGUGUAGCUGGAGUGUCGGAGAGGCAGGCGGAAUUCCUAGUGUAGCGGUGAAAUGCGUAGAUAUUAGGAGGAACACCAGUGGCGAAGGCGGCCUGCUGGACGAUGACUGACGUUGAGGCUCGAAAGCGUGGGGAGCAAACAGGAUUAGAUACCCGUGUAU